rnacentral:lncRNA from 1 species
GCCGGAGCGGCGGCGGCGGUGGGGGUGGGGGUGGGGGUCGGGCCCCCGCGGCGCUCCCCACCCCCCACCCCCGCGCUACCUCGGGCUCGGUGCACGCGUAGCCGGGCCGGCAGGUCCCCCGCCCCGGGGCGCACGGCCCGGGCCCCGAAGUCCGGCCGCCGACGCCUGGGGACCCGCGGGCCGCGCUCCCGCCGCCGAGCGCGCACCCCCGCCGGGACACGGACGCACACUCACCCGACACACACCGGCUCCCGCUCCCGCUCGCCCUCGGCGGAGAGUUGCAGCAGCUGCGGGUUCGCCCGGGGCCGGGGGGGCGCGUGUGCGCUGUGCGCGUGCAGACGGGGGGCGCAUCGCUAACAAAUCGAACCCGCCAUAAAGUGAGGAGCGCGGCUGGCCGGGUCCGCGGGGGGCGGACGGGGGCGGACGGGGAGCGGGCUUGCCGCGGGCCGCCUUGCUCCUCCCCGGCCCGGCGCUCCCCGCGCAGCGACACGUUAAUAAAUGUUUCCUUUUAUCCGCUUUCACAAGGGCCCGCCCGGGUCUGCAAACACCCGGCCGCCCUUUGCCGAGAGCCCGCCGGUCGGCUCGCCCCGCACCGCGCACCUGGCCCUGGAGCCGCCGGCUGCAGCCCGAGCGCCCAGCUAGACCGCAGGGUGAACUGCCCAGCGCCCCGGAGGCUUCCCGAGCAGGACCUUACCUCGCCCCAUGGCUCAGGCCUGAGAAGUGCCUCCUGUCAGUCACGGUGCCGUCCCUUGCAUGGCUUGGCAACAUCUCUGUCACUUGGCACCCAGGCUUAUCCUCGUCCUGUGAUUGCUCCUGGUGACUCAUCCAUUUGUGCUUAUAUCCGGUCGUCUGUGGCUCGGGCAGGUGCCGUGCCCAUGAGAGCUGGGCUGCCGACCAAGACGGCAGCAGAGGCCUCUGCCAUGAGCUGGAUUUAUCCUGGUCUGUCCCCUUCACCUUGGAGAGAGCACUUAGGCAUAGAUCACCCCCCUUCGCAGUGAUCGCUUACGGCGUAUGUCAGUAGGAACGUGGUUGCUGAUGGGAGACCCCCUUUGGCUAGCGAAGACAAGAAAGGGGUUUUGUUGAAAGUUCUUAAGUAUCCUCAGAUCCUCAGAAGGGUCAGAAUGCAGGCUUUGAAGCUGGACAGCCAGGAAAGACUUCAACCACACCGUAGGGGCUGCUCUGGCAACACCGCACUGCCGCCGCGUCCAUCCUGAUGACAUUGGGCUUGGACUCUGAAGGCUCAGUCACUGCUGAGCUCCAGGAAGAACUGAAAGCUUCGCCACAGUGUUUUCUAGAAGCUCAGAUCCCUUGGGCACAGCCACCACCACACAAAGCCACAUACUGAAGUCCUGUCUCCCAUGGGUGUGUCUGAUUAGCAGAACCUGGGCCACAUGACUGCAUCCCAACUGUGAAGUGCGGGGAUUUGAGUUUCUGGAAUUGGCCUGGGAAGGUGAGAAUCAUCAUGGGAUGUUAGAGAGAGGGGAUUGGGUGGCCACAAACACAAGACAAACACCUGCUCCACCUGCGGCAGGCUGGACAACAGGCCGAGCACUCCGUGUCUCUCAUUCUACCCUUGUCCUUAUAGUUAGGGAACCAAGUAUCAGCAAGGGGAAGUGACGUGUCCCAGGUUGCAAGGAGCCCAGACUCUAGAACCUUCAUCCACCUUCCAAACUCAGGGUUAGAUGGAAAAAUAUCAACAGAUCCCCAGCCACCUACAUGCACUAAUGCUGGCCUGGGGCCCCAACCACAAGGGAACCAUUUUGUGUGGCAAAUGCAGUCACAGGGUGAGCUCUGUUCUCUUGCUCACUCACUCCUUUGAUUGAAGCAGGAAACCACUUACGGUUCGUCCAUCCAUUCACAGCCAGAUCUUACGAAAUUCGUCAUGUGCUCAUGGUCAGAGGGCUUGGGCUCUGGUGCAGCUUCCUGCUGCUCGGCCUUGGGCCUCGUGCAUUCUCGAGCCUCAUCUGUAAAAUGGGCAUCCAAAUCUCGCCCCACUGUCUUCCCUCCAAGACUGUCAUCUGGAUCAAACGUAAGAGUGCAGAGUCAAUGAGUGAACUGCAGGACAGCUCUUGCUUCAUUGAUCUUAUUCCUCACCAGCAACCUGUGGAUAAAGGAAUCUGAAUGCCUGUUGGCAGUUGCAGUCACUCUGCUUCAAAAGGAGAGAUGAGCAGGGCCAUAGGAGCUCUCGGUGUUGUCUGCUCAGAAAAUACUGGAUGAAGGCUUGUUUCUUUGCCUUGAAUGGAGACCACACCCCAUGGACCAUUAACAGAUGCUACUGGGGACGGAUGGCCACAGUCUGUCUGCGUCCACCUGGGUGCAGGCAGCAGCAAAGACCCCCAAACAGUGCCAUUCUUGGGUUAUCCACAGGCAGAGUGCUGGUCCCGCAGGGCAGUUCAGAGCAGGAAGCCAGGCGUCCCUGGGGGGGAGAUGUGGACAGGGAAGGCCCAUGGGCUGCUGGGGAGGGGCGCCCACUGGGGCAGACUGGCCUGGCCUUGGAGCUGCUACGGGAGGUGCCUUGAUCAGGGUUAUCGGAGAGCCCAGCAGCCUUGCACAUCUGUGGUGAGAUGCUCCAUAGCUCAGCCUCAGAGCCUCAGGCCCCAAAUGUGACUCUCAUGACCCUGCUUCCAGAGGCUUAGAGUCCAGCAGGUGAGAAAGAUAGAUCGACCAAGCUCAACACCAGCCUGCAGCAGAGCAUCUUCAUUUUUACUGACAUCUGCUGUUUUCUUUCCCUCACCAGCAGAAACUCGGUUUUCUUUGGGUGGCGAUGUACCACCCUGAAGAGGCGGUGUAAGCUUUUAAGCCAGAGUUUCUCCGAGGGGGUCAUUGGACCAGCAGCAUCAGCGUCACCUGGGAACUUGUUAGAAAUGCAGACUCUUGGGAUGCCCGGGUGGCUCAGUGGUUCAGUGUCUGCCUUGGGCUCAGGUUGUGAUCCCAGAGUCCCGGGAUCGAGUCCUGCAUCAGGCUCCCUGCAUGGACCCUGCUUCUCCCUCUGCCUGUGUCUCUGCUUCUCUCUUUGUGUUUCUCAUGAAUAAAUAAGUAAAAAAAUCUUAAAAAAAAAAAAAGUG